rnacentral:rRNA from 1 species
UACGAAGGGGACUAGCGUUGUUCGGAAUCACUGGGCGUAAAGCGCACGUAGGCGGAUAUGUCAGUCAGGGGUGAAAUCCCGGGGCUCAACCUCGGAACUGCCUUUGAUACAGCAUAUCUUGAGUCCGAUAGAGGUGGGUGGAAUUCCUAGUGUAGAGGUGAAAUUCGUAGAUAUUAGGAAGAACACCGGUGGCGAAGGCGGCUCACUGGAUCGGUACUGACGCUGAGGUGCGAAAGCGUGGGGAGCAAACAGG